rnacentral:lncRNA from 1 species
AAAGUGAAAGAAAUGAAUUAGAGUGGCUUAAAGAUAAGAAAAAAGCGAUACUAACUACCUACGAUGCUCAAACACUCUACUGUCCUGAUAUACUCGGUAAUAUAGUUGAUUUACAAUAGGCGUCCUCACUCGGAUAUAGAGAUUUUAAUUUUCAGUUAAUUUUCUGUGGUACUCGUUUAUCCAUUUUAUUUUUAGAAGCAUUAUUCUAAAUUAUUAUAAAAUAUUAUUUUAUAUUUUUAUAUUAAAAAUUUUUAAUUGGCUAAAAUGAAGUACAAAAAUUUUAUUUUAGGCUAAAAUAAAAUUACAUUGCAUAGUUUCAUAAGAAAUAAAUGCAUUUUCUAGAACAAUACUUCUAAAGAUAAAAGGGACAAACGAGUACUGCAGAAAAUUAACUGAGAAUUAAAAUCUCUAUAUCCGAGUGAGGACACCUAUUGUAAAUCAACCAUAUUAGCGAGUAUAUCAGGACAGUAGAGUGUUCGAACAUCUUAGAUAGUUAGUAUCGCUCUUUUCUUAUCUUUAAGCCACUCUAAUUCAUUUCUUUCGCUUCUAUUUUAUUACAAUAAAAUAUAGGAUAAAUUAUGGUAUGAUUUAUUUUAGGAUAAAAAAUAUAUAUAAAUUCAAAAUCAAGCAUGAUCACUAAUUUGAGGGUUAGUAGUCAAUCCAUAAGUAACAUAUUAUAAUAAAAUAAUUUAUAGUCAAGAGUCCUAUAGA